GGGGGGGGGGGGGGGGGGGGGGGGGGGGGGCAGGGCGGGCGGGGGGGCGGCCGGGGGGGGUACGCGGGUGGCGGACGGGGGAGUGACGCGUGAGUAACCUACCCUUGACUUUGGGAUAACUUCGGGAAACUGGGGCUAAUACCGGAUAGGAGCUCCGGCUGCCUGGUGGGGGUUGGAAAGUUUCGGCGGUGGGGGAUGGACUCGCGGCUUAUCAGCUUGUUGGUGGGGUAGUGCCUCACCACGUCUUUGACGGGUAGCCGGCCUGUGAGGGUGACCGGCCACCUUGGGACUGGGAUACGGCCCAGACUACUACGGGAGGCAGCAGUGGGGAAUAUUGCACAAUGGGCGGAAGCUUGAUGCAGCAACGCCGCGUGCGGGAUGACGGCCUUCGGGUUGUAAACCGCUUUCGCCGGUGACGAAGCGUGAGUGACGGUAAUGGGUAAAGAAGCACCGGCUAACUACG
rnacentral:rRNA from 1 species